AACGAACGCUGGCGGCAGGCUUAACACAUGCAAGUCGAGCGCCCCGCAAGGGGAGCGGCAGACGGGUGAGUAACGCGUGGGAAUCUACCCAUCCCUACGGAAUAGCUCCGGGAAACUGGAAUUAAUACCGUAUACGCACUACGGGGGAAAGAUUUAUCGGGGAUGGAUGAGCCCGCGUUGGAUUAGCUAGUUGGUGGGGUAAAGGCCUACCAAGGCGACGAUCCAUGGCUGGUCUGAGAGGAUGAUCAGCCACAUUGGGACUGAGACACGGCCCAAACUCCUACGGGAGGCAGCAGUGGGGAAUAUUGGACAAUGGGGGCAACCCUGAUCCAGCCAUGCCGCGUGAGUGAUGAAGGCCUUAGGGUUGUAAAGCUCUUUCACCGGGGAAGAUAAUGACGGUACCCGGAGAAGAAGCCCCGGCUAACUUCGUGCCAGCAGCCGCCAGUAA
rnacentral:rRNA from 1 species